GCUUUAGCAGAUUUUUUCAGUCUUUUUUCCCAUGUGUGGUGUUUUCCAGUUUGGUUUGGGCCAAAUUUUACCACCACCACCCCAAGCUGUUAUAUAUUCAGUACUUACGGCAGGGCUGGUGAUGAUAGAAGGACUUGUCUCAUGUGCUCUGAGUUACUCGUGAUCAGGAGCAGCGAUUCAGUGAAAGAGCAACAUCAUCCCAGUCCUGUUUCAUGCUCAAGAUGCCCAGGACACGCAUCAGGGACACUACUGGGUGAUCAUGAAGACAAGUGUGCUCUGAAUGCAGUGAAAAGCCUUCCCUUCAGUGAUGAGAGUUUGCUCCAGGACGAAGGAGGGGAGCUACCCUGCCUUUCUUCUGUGGUCGUGGAGCCCCUGCCCAGGGGGGUUAAAAGGAGAGAAUGGGCUGGGGCUUGCAGGCUUACCCACUUGAGGCCCUGUGGAGCAGUCCAUAAAACAAGCAUGAAUUAACGCAGCC
rnacentral:lncRNA from 1 species